UGGGCGUCUCGUGUGUGCACCUGUAGUGUGGUGGGUGAGUCCAUGUCAUUUGAAAACCUUUUCACGUUGAAGUGGUGCUGUGUAUUUGCUGUGGGUUGCUGUGCAAGUGCUGUGUGUCUUGUCAGACGUACCCCGCAUCAUCCCCUCCACUGAGGAAGAGACGGAGAGGCUGACGGCUAGUGAGGGGCGAAGGAGUUCCGCCGCCCCGUGGUCUCUACAAAGGGGCGCCCCUGUCUGGUAUUCGAUCGGCCUACGGGCAUUGAGGACAGGGCAGCGCUCGGCCCGGUGAGACGGUGUGACGGUUCGCCCCCCUGCUGACCAGCGAAUUCGCCGAGAGGGUUUUGGCCCCCGGCGCCCCCUGGGGAAAUCGUCGCCGUUGCCCUUCUGUGCAGGCCAGCUGUCGUAAGCCCGCCCCCGUGCAUUGUCGACCAAAACACCGUAUAGCGAGCUGAGGAAAAGCUGCACUUACCCAGAGUUGCGAACGGCAGAGAGGUGAGAAGUAUCCAAGUUGCACUAACUGUGUUAUUGUGUCCAAGCUGCCUGUGAAGGAAGAGAGAACGAGAGAGAACGUCAGUAGAACGAACUGUGGACAGUCACACACGCCCGAGCUGUAAACAGCAGAGAGGUGAGAAGUAUCCAAGUUGCACUAACUGUGUUAUUGUGUCCAAGCUGCCUGUAAAGGAAGAGAGAACGAGAGUGAACGCCAGUAGAACGAACUGUGGACAGUCACACAUGCCCGAGCUGUAAACAGCAGAGAGGUGAGAAGUAUUUAAGCUGCACUAACUGUGUCGUUGUGUCCAAGUGGCCUGCAAAGAGAGAGAGAUAAGACGGGAGUGAAUGUCAGGAGAGUGACCUGUGGAAGAAAGACCAUACUUACCACGAGUUAUCAGCAAGCCGACAGGCGAAGGUGAUUCCAGUCCAGGCUAAACGAGUCCUCGCGUCCCAGUCGAACCCUGUAGAGAGAAACACACAGUGGAGUGAGCAGUGAAGUAUCGGCCUGACGUGACACAGGUACCACAGUAGAGAGAGAGAGAUAAAUCCCAAAUUCACACUAUUUUGUCUUUUGCCUCCAGGAGAGAAGAGGAGGGCGCCACGGAUAGCGGGAUUGGCAGGAGCCUGUGUUCCCCGUCCCCUCCCCCUUACACUUGGGUCACCAGCCCCUGGAACCCCCGCCGCCCUCUUCCCCUUUCUGUCACUGUCCCGUGCUGUGGUCUGUCUGGAAGGCAGAGAGGAAGCUAGUUUUAAUUGCCCCUUUCCCCAUUUCCCCAGUUAUUUUAAUUAUUUAAAUAAAGUUUGUUUUAAUACUUA